GGGAGACGGUGAUAGCUGUGCGGUAGGGAGGCGGGGCUCUCCGGGGUUGCUUCUUCCCCGAUGUGGAGCAUACACGCGAGAUAAGAUCACCUAAUGGCUAAUUCCCGGAAAACAACUAAUGCAGAAGCUUAUAACCCUUGGAUUUGGAAAACAACAAGCGCUUUGCAGUCCCUACAGCAUGAUAAGAACCAUGGUUGAUGGAACAAUUAGAGCAUAGCCACCGACGAACGCCACACUCCAAGAGGAGCCGCGGCUGGCUGGACGGCGGUCGGAUGAUCGGCUGGUGGCGAUCUAAGCAGCGUAGGCCGCUGCUUGCCAUGUGUCACCGCUGGAGGAUUUUAAUCUUGGCCGGUGAUUGGCUAUCUCCACUUGGAAAACACUAUGUGGG